GCUUUGGACAAUUAAUAACAUGACUCUCGUACUUUGCCCUAUUCCUACUUUAUCUGGUGACAACUGCAUGCAUGGCCAUCCUUGUAGAGUUUCCGAGCCUUGUUUUAUAUCUUAUGACACAAUAUUGUAUACUUGUAUAGAGCAGACAAACCCAGUAAUCUGUAAAAGUUUCACCAUGUUACAGGUGGUCCAAAAGCUGUCGAGAUCCCUUCACAGAGAAACUGCCCAACAACAGAAAGCCUGUGUUGAGGCCAUUGCACUGAUGAAGCAUACAGCUGAUGAAGCAGAUGUUCGCCUAUUGCCAAAAGAUGGUUCAUGACCCAGUGAAGUCCUCUGAAAUAUUCACAGCAAUCCAAAGACAUAGCAGGAAUGAUUGAGCAAUAAUUUAGUGAUUCAACCUCUGCAAUGUUCCUGGAGAAGUGGCCUACUCCAAGCAGAAAGUUAUUGACCAAAGCCGUGGCCUCACACAGACAGGCGACCUGCAAGACCUGGUUCAAGAUGCUGAAUCCACAACAGAAGUGGAAAAUCGUAUGCUGGAAUAAAAGAUGGGACAGUGACAUGUCCUCCAUUUUGGUCCCUGUCCACCUUAUACCACCGUCACCUCAUGGCCACAAGAGACCUGGAAAAAUAUCAGCCAGACACACCAGUAACCACAUUGUGAAGUUUAUCAAGGUGAAGUUACAGUUGACUGUUCUCACCCCAUUCCUAAUCUACUUUUAAGAUUAUGGACAAAUUGUAAGAUCAUAUGUAGCUGUAAUUUAAAUUGACAAACUGUUUGCGAACCGUGAUUAAUUUUAAUAGCAAACUAAUGAAGUUCUUGUGUCAGACUGGGACCAGCAUCUGGAGAGCGCCAUGGAAAGCCUUCAACCCGCAAUACAUUGUAACUCUCUUGCCUGUUUUGUCUUUGGUACCUCACAUCUCCCUCACUAGCUUUAAGCACCAGCUGUCAGAGCAGCUUACAGAUCACUGCACAUGUACAUAGCCCAUCUGUAAACAUCCCAUCUACCUACCUCAUCCCCAUACUGGCAUUUAUUUAUUUUGCUCCUUUGCACCCCAGUAUCUCUACCUGCACUUUCAUCUUAUGCCAAUCUACCAUUCCAGUGUUUAAUUGCUAUAUUGUAAUUACUUCGCCACCAUGGCCUAUUUAUUUCCUUAAACUUACCUCAUUUGCACUCACUGUAUAGACUGUUUUCUUUUGUUCUACUGUAUUAUUGACUGUUUUUGUUUAUUCCCAAGUGUAACUCUGUGUUGUAAGUGUCGAAUUGCUACGCUUUAUCUUGGCCAGGUCGCAGUUGCAAAUGAGAACUUGUUCUCAACUAGCCUACCUGGUUAAAUAAAGGUGAAAUAAAAUAAUAAUUUGG